GUCACUGUCAACCACUCCACAGUACCCUAAUUAAUAACUAACAAAAUUAACGAUUAUCCGAAACCCCUUAAAAUACUAAUCGGAACUAUACCAUAUGAGAGACCGCGUUUCCUCGAAAUCUUCACAUAGAGCGGCCCGGCUGGAGUCUGAGUCUUCGCAGCUACGGUGUCGUUUUGUUUGUUUCCUUAGCUGAUGGGCGAUGAGAAAUCUACGAUCGUGAUGGCGAGUAGGGACCGUGAAAGAGAUCGAGAGCUUCUCAUCCCCGUCGCCGACUCUGCACACGAUGAUGUCGCCCCCAAACCUUCUUCGUCUUCCUCGUCGUCACAUCAUUCGGGACGUGAGGUGAAGAAAUCUAUUCGCUCUAUGCCCCCUCCCCUUUUUUUAGGGUUUUGAAUUUUUGGUAUCUCUUGCCAAUCAUUUCUGAUUGAUCUUACCAUUUUGACUCUAGACUAGAGCUUGAUGCUGUUUAAAAUUGAUAAUUUGCUUGUGUUUUGUAAAAGAUUUCGUUGAACUGAGUAGCUUUUUCAGGAAUUGACGUCCCAUUUUUCAUUGCCUGCACUGAAAUUGAUUAGAAAAUUACCAUUGAUUGUUUGGCUUCAAAGCUAUUUAAAGUUGUUUAAUGCAAUUUGAGAUGUUUUAUGAAAUCUAAAUUCUUUGAAUAAAAAAAUGUUUGCGGCAGCUAUUGGAACUGGAAGAUUGCUUGAUACCACAUUCUGAAUUUGCGUAAUAUCAUUUUUAGUUGGAACUCCAUACUUAAGUUUAGUUUUUAUUACGUCUUAAAACUAUAAACUUCCGCGAAUUAAUGAUUCUUAAGUGAUGCUACCAGAAAAUGCUAUCUCACUGGAUUUCAGAUUCCUUUAUGUUUCCAUAAAUUACAUUAUCUAUUGUUUUGGCGCUGAAAGUUUGAAAUCCCUUGAGCAGAAGUUUUAUUUUUUUGUAAAUGCCAAGUUCCAAAUUGAAGCAAAGGCAAGAAGUAUUCUUCAUGUCUGCGUGCUUUUGAAUGCCUAUUCUGGCUUUUGUAAUCUGACAUUUGCUGUAUGAUAUUUUGUGUCUGUAGACGUUUUACAAAGUUGUUAGGAGCUGGGCUUCAAAAAAGUUCAUGACUGGAUGUGUAAUCCUAUUCCCCAUUGCUAUCACUUUCUACAUAACAUGGUGGUUUAUUCAUUUUGUUGAUGGAUUUUUCUCUCCAAUCUAUGCCCAACUUGGUAUUGAUAUAUUUGGUCUUGGAUUCAUAACUUCCAUAACAUUCAUUUUCUUGGUUGGGGUAUUCAUGUCAUCUUGGUUGGGAGCAUCUGUCUUGGGUCUCGGUGAGUGGUUUAUUAAACGGAUGCCGUUUGUUCGCCAUAUUUAUAAUGCUUCGAAGCAAAUAAGUGCUGCCAUAUCACCAGAUCAAAACACACAGGCAUUCAAGGAAGUAGCCAUCAUCAGGCAUCCACGCAUUGGUGAAUACGCAUUUGGGUUCAUAACUUCGACUGUCGUCCUCCAGAACUAUUCUGGGGAAGAGGAGCUAUGCUGUGUCUAUGUUCCUACUAAUCAUCUGUAUAUUGGUGAUAUAUUCCUGGUCAAUGCCAAAGAUGUUAUCAGACCCAAUCUCUCAGUCCGGGAAGGCAUUGAAAUUGUAGUGUCUGGGGGAAUGUCGAUGCCUCAAAUCCUUUCAACGUUGGAUUCACGCAUUCCAUUGGACAGAAGUAGAUCCGACCUAAGCUGAGUUGAAGGCAAUAUCUGUAGAGGAGUCGAUUUAUUGUUUCCAUUGGUUUCAGAUUAAGUCAUCAGAACAGCCACAAUAGAAUCAUUGGAAUGGCUGCAUUGAGAUUGGUGAGGGUAAUAUUGGAUUUGAGUUGAGAUCAAAAGUUUUGGACGGUUGAUGGAUCAAAUUCUGGUGGCUUAUGUCACAUUGGUUAUUGUUUAGAAUGUAGAUUUUAGUGUUUGCUUGGAAAUAUAGUCUGGUGGAUAACACUGGCAGAUAGGCUUGUUCGUUUUGGGUCCCCAAUUUAUUUUCCCACAUUAUUAGCAUGGUUUUGGCUCUGGGCUCUGAAUUUGUACUUCACAGAUGAUUCCAACUCUCAAAGUUUGCCUUGUAGAUAAGACUUCAUAUAUUUCAAGUUCAAUGGCGUCUCAUAUGAUUUUUGUCUAAAUUUUGAAGUGUGAAAUUUGGAACUAAAAGAUUUUUACAUUGUCAAAACAAUCGG
rnacentral:misc_RNA from 1 species